CCCUUGACCUCCCUUUGGGAUGUAAGGGCCUGAUACCGCUAGGCCACUGACCCGUUGGUAUUUUUUACUAGUACUUUGCUUUGCUUUGAAUCUUAGCUUUAGGAUCGAAGAGUAACUUCAAUAAUAAAUAUUUAAAGAACCAGUAACUAAUUGUAAAGAUAGCAAUAGAAUAUGAAGCUGAGAAAUUUGAGAUAUGUGUAAAUGUGAUAUUUUGUAGGAUAAUGCUGAGGAUAUUUUGUAGAAUAAUUCUAGAGAUUUAUUUUUUAUUUUAACGUAUGUUUAUUACUUAUUUAUAUAUAUAUUAGAUUAACAUAUGAAAUCUGAAUAGCAUCCCAGACUUCAAAAUCAGUUUUUAACUGUUGUGUUGGUUUACUGUUCUUGACCGGAAAUGUCGACACCCAUAUAUAAGCUCAACCUUCAACUUUCUGCUGCUCUUGGCCACUCAAAAUGAAUGCCAAGCAGGCAUGGAUAUCUGUAACACUUACUUUAAAUCCUCUCUUCUUUGUCUUGCCUUUUUUUUUGCUGGUGUUGGAAGUUUGAUUUUGUAGUGGUAGAUGAAACUUUUGCAGAUAUAUAGGCCUUUUUCUAAAUCUAGUGAUAGGAUUGUCAGCAUCUUUGAAAUGUUAAUUUCAGUAGUAGAGAUAAAUUCGAAUUGAUAAAUCAUUAAUGUGUUCACUGACUAUUAAUGAGUUUAGAAUAAUAAAGUGUGUCUAAUUAUUGUUGUUGAUCUAAAUAUAGUUGCUGAUCCCACCAAGCUUUAGGCCAACCUGUGCCCGUUGACAGUCCCAGCUUAAGACAAGAACUUUUCAAUUCCAUGAGUGCAGAAUGAGCUGAAAUGAUGGCAGCUUUCAGAUUACUAAAUAGUGCAUGGAAAGAUAAUGUUAUAAUAUAUAUAUAUAUAUAUAUAUAUUCUGUAAAUUUCAAGCACAAGGAACCAAAUUGUUCAGGACCUGUAUUUUUUUUCUUUUUCUUUUUCAGAUCUUCCAUUUUUUGGGUGAAGCAGUUGUUUUCUAGUGGGUAAAAAUCAUAAACAAUAUGUAUAUAUAUAUAUAUAUAUAUAUUGUGUUGUUUGUAGUGAAUGAUUCUGCAACUAGAUUUGGUUUCAACUUUCUUGAGAAGUCUACACUGUAAUACUUGUUGUUUUUCUGGUUCUAUUGUUUCAUAGACAAUUGCUAGAAUAUAAACUGUUUUGGACAAAUAUAUAACACUUACAAGAACUGGGUGAAAUAUUUUUGGCCUUUGAAGUCUAUUAAGGGAUUUUUGGCUGCACAAAAUAGAUUUUAGUUUGGAAUUAUAAUUAUGUGAAAUUUGAAUUUAAUGGGUCCAACUUACUUCAUCAUCAUAUUUUUUCUUUCUUACUUUAUUUAUUUUUUUUUUAUUUAUUUUUUCUUGACAACUUGUACUCUUUUCUAUAUAAGAUAGUUGGACUAAUGAUUGUUUUAGUUUUAUAGUAGAAUUUUCCUUUUAGUCUAUUUGGUAAUUUUCUCUUUGACUCCAAUUUGAAUUUAAUAGAUUUUAGUUUGAAAUUAUAAUUAUGCGAAAUUCAAAUUUAAUUAGCUAGCAUUCAUAUAUUAUAUGUACUAUUAUGUGUGAAGUGUGAACCCCUUUACUUUUCCAUCUUUCAUUAAUGAAGGUGACAUUAUAUAAUAAGUUGCUGAUCAUUUUUUUUUAAAAGAAGAAAUGUAUUUCUCUUGUAAUUAUUAUGUUAGAAUUUCCGUAUGGUUGAAGGUUGUCGGUGCUUGUGAAUCUCAAUUGUUAACAAUUAUUAGGGAAAGAUUAUAUAUAUUUUUUGUAGGGUUCAAUUAUAUACAAGAAGGCUCUCAUGCGGUCCAAAAUAAUGGACUUUUCAACAGACCAAAAGUCAAUUAGGAAAAUUACACUUUAUUACUUUAUCAGACCUAACCAUAACUAAUUUACCAUAAUUAUAUUUGUGACAUAAAAUUUGAGGGAAAAUGUUAUGCGUGAAAAAGUAAAUGGGAAUGAAAUUGAGCAAAUUGCCAAAAUUUGGAGAUUUUUCUUAUUUCAGUUUCAGUAUUGAGCUAUCGAGUUCCAAAAAAUCCAAAUUUAGAGACCUUUUAUUGUUUCCAUGGCACAAUUAAGCAAUAUAUGCUUUCUGUUUGAGACUCCAUUAUUAGAGGUUGUGCUUAUUCACAAACCCUAAAAAAUUGGUAUCUUUUGAACCAAAAAAAAAAAAAAAAAAAACUAAUUCAUGAAGUGUGGAAUAAUGGGUCGAUGAAAAAAAUAAUAAAUAAAAUAUAAAUAAGAGACCAACAGUCAAGCCAUCAAGGUAAAAAAAAAAAAUAAAGAGAGCAAAAAAAUAAAUAAAUCAAAGUGCAAAAAGAAGAUAGAGAAAGAGAUAAUGAUCUGGAUCCGAUUUUAGAGAAUGAAUAUGGUAGUUGUGUUGUGGCUGUAGUAGUGAAGAUGGUGGCUGUGAUGUUGUGGUUAUGGCGGUAGUGGUUGAGAUUGCAAGGAUGAUGGAAGAGAUUAAGGAGAGAGAGAUUGAAUAAAUGUAUUGGCUAAUUAUAGUAAAUUAACUAUGGUCAGGUUUGAUAAAGUAAUAAAGUGUAAUUUUUCUAAUUGACUUUUGGUGCGUUGAAAAGUCCGUUCUUUUAGACUGCGUGAGAGCCUACCUGCAAUUAUAUAUAUUUAGUUUUUUGUUUAUAUUUGAUAUACAUUUUUCUUCUUCUUUUUAUGUGUGUGUGUGUGUGUGUGUUUGGGCAGUUACAUGGAUAAGUCUUGGAUUCAUUAUCACGCUAGGGGUAGUGUAAAGUAUUUUGACGGCAUACACGACUUCAUUGAUGUGGCUAGCCGUCAUGCAGAAGUAGACGGUAGGUCCCAAUGUCCAUGUCGUCAUUGCAAAAAUACAACUUAUCGUCAAAUUGAAGAAGUUAAGCAGCAUCUCUUGAGUAAUGGGAUGGACAAGGGGUAUACCAAUUGGAUAUAUCAUGGGGAGGCCUGUCAAAGCAACAAUAAUGUUAAUAUUGAUGCUAAUGUCAGUAGGGAAAAUGUCCACGAUGAAGAUGGAAAUGUAGAUAAUGUGUUUGAAUUGUUGGAUAACAUACAAAUAGGAAACUUCACCAAUAUACAACAACAAGAAGAUUCGCCUAAAGUUGAUGUUGGAGGAGGAAGCUUUGAUAGAUUGUAAAAUGAUGCACAAUGUGAAUUGUGGCUAGGUUGUAAAAAAUACUCUAAGUUGUCAGCAAUAUUAAAGUUAUUCCAUGUGAAGGUUACAAGCCGAAUGAGCAAUAAAGCAUUUGACAUGAUGCUUGAUGCAUUUAAGGAUAUGCUUCCCAACAACAAUGUGUUACCAAAGUCUCAUUACGAGACUAAAAGCUUGUUGCGAGACUUGGGACUUGGAUAUGAUUGUAUACAUGCAUGUAAACAUGAUUGUGUUCUAUUUUGGAAGGAGAAUGCAGGUAAAGAAAAUUAUCCAAAGUGUGGUGUAUCGAGGUAUAAACCUCAUGAAGGUAAGGGUAAGAAAAUCCCUUAAAAUGCUCUCCAGCACUUCCCUUUGAAAUCAAGACUUCAACAAUUAUUUAUGUCAAAAGACACGGCCUUCGACAUGUGGUGGCAUAAAGAGAAACGUGUGAAUGAGACAAAUGAGUUAAGACAUCCAGCUAAUUCAAAAGCUUGGGAGGAUUUUGAUAGUAAGCGUAGUUGGUUUGCUGCUAAUCCUCGUAAUGUUCGUGUUGGAUUAGCAACUGAUGGAUUCAAUCCAUUUGGUAACAUGAGCAAUGCAUAUAGUAUGUGGCCAGUGAUGAUUGUGCUUUACAAUUUGCCACCUUGGAUAUGUAUGAAAGAGCCAUAUACAUUUAUGUUGCUUAUUCCUGGUCUAACAUCGCCUGGUAAUGAUAUUGAUGUGUACCUGCAGCCUUUGAUUGAAGAUUUAAAAGAAUUGUCGUGGGAUGGUGUGAUGACGUAUGAUGCCUAUAGUAAAUGUAACUUUAAAAUGCAUGCGACAAUGAUUUGGACCAUUAGUGAUUUUCCCGCCUAUGCAAUGGUAUCUAUAUGGAUGACAAAGGGUUAUCUAGCAUGUCUAAAUUGUAACGAAGAAACAUGUUCUUGUUAUUUGGGACACGGACAUAAGAUAUGUUAUUUGGGAAGUCGUAUGUUUUUAUCGUUAGAUCACAUUUUCAGAAAACGUCACAAGCAAUUUAAUGGCAAGAGUGAAGACAAAGGUCCACCAAGGCAGUUGAUGGGUGAUGAUAUUCUGGAACUUAACCUCAUACCCCAGGUUAGUUUCAGAAAAAGACCAAAUAAAAAGAAGCAAACUCAUGAGGAAUUUGAACUUAACUGAACGAAGAAGAGUAUUUUCUUUGAAAUACCUUAUUGGCAGACCCUUUUGUUGUGGCACAACCUGGAUGUUAUGCAUAUAGAGAAAAAUAUAUGCGAUAGUGUGUUGGGGACAUUAUUGGACAUUGAAGUGAAAACUAAAGACACAUUCAAAAGUCGGUUGGAUUUAGAAGCAAUGGGGAUUAGAAAAAAACUCCACCUGAGGCGUAAUGGUGAAAAAUUUGAGAUGCCACAAGUGUGUUACACAUUGUCAAAGAAUGAUAAAAGGCAACUAUGUGAAUGGUUAAAAUCGGUUAAGUUUCCAAAUGGCUAUGCAUCGAACAUAAAUCGGUGUGUGAACGUUAAUAAUUGUAAGAUAUCUGGAUUGAAAAGUCAUGAUUCACACGUUCUUUUACAACGUCUCCUCCCUAUUUCUAUACGAGGAUUCUUAAAUUCAGAUAUUUGUAACACAAUAGCUGAGCUUGGUUUAUUCUUCAAGGAAUUGUGUUGUCGAACUGUUAAAAUGGUUGUCUUAGAGGCAAUGGAAAGGGACAUUGCUGUUAUACUAAGUAAGUUAGAGAUGAUAUUUCCUCCGUCAUUUUUUGACAUUAUGGUGCACUUAGCUCUGCAUUUGCCUCGUGAAGCCAUCAUCGCAGGCCUGCAUAAUAUCGAUGGAUGUACCCGAUUGAAAGGUGCUGUAUAUUUUUAGUAAACCAACAUUAUUCUCUUCUUCUUCUUCUUCUCCUUUUUUUUUUUUUUUUUUUUGACAAGUUCUAUUGGUUUGUUAGACUUAAAUAUUUGUAAUUAUAUUAACGGUUAUGUAGAUUUUUGCAUACUCUCAAAUUGUACGUCCGUAACAAAACACAUCCUGGAGGGUCCAUUGCGGAAGCUUACGUGGACGAUGAAUGCCUCACAUUUUGUUCAAAAUUUCUUGGAGGGAUUGAGACACGAUUCAAUAGAGAAGAAAUAAAUAGUGAGGGGAACUAUAACAAUAAUUGGUCCACUUUUUCUGAUCUAAAGCAAAUGGUUCGACCGAUAAGGGCACAAAGUUUGGAUAUAUUGCCCCGUGCAGACAUAGAGAUGGCCCGAUCGUACAUGUUACAGAAUUGUGAAGAUGUUUUUGUCAUAUGAAGAGUAAGUAGCUCAUUGCAUGUCAUAGCUUGUCAGUUUCUAUAAAUAUAUACUCUAUUUCUUAAUACAUAUACACAAUUGUAUCUUUAACAUCAUGUAAUUGUUUAGAAAACACAAGGUAGAACAUGAGAGAGAAAAUCCGCGCAAUGUUCCUCAAAGACAUGCUAAAGAAUAUUCGAGCUGGUUCAAAACAAAAGUCAGUCCAUUAUGCACCUAUUGUACACUAUACUUUUUUUAAUAGAUAAAGGAAAUGUGUCAUCAUCAAAAGGAAACAACUUGUGAUGAUUUGUAUUCAUUAGCGUGUGGACCUCAAUGUCUAAUAAGUCGAUAUUAUGUGUGUAUUGUAAAUGGGAUUAGGUUCCAUACUAAGGAAAGGGAGCAAACUCUACUGUCCAGUUCCAGUAGAGUUUGGAGAGGGUUAUAUUAAACCUAUCGGUUUAAAUAACAAAUUAUGGAUGACUCAGGUUGGCAUUAAUACACGAGAUACCAAAGCCCUUCUAAAGUAUAAAACGCAGAGGGAUGUUCCAGAUUUUGAGAAAGAGGUCUGCUAUGACCAUUUGAAGGUAAUGAUAGCCAUCAUUUAAUGUUUGUUUUGUUUAAGAAUAAAUCAGAGGUUACUGGUGCAAUUGGUUACAAAUUGUAGCUUACAUUAAUUUUACAUUAUAAAGGAGAUGUUUGGAGUGGAUGCAUAUCCAAAUGACACUGAUUUAAGCGAGUAAAUAAGGGAAUUUCUGGCACAUUGAGGAAAUAUAGAUAUAAAUUGAAGAGUCAUUUCAAGGAGCAUCUUCUCAUUGAGAAUGCACGCCGCCAUCCUUACAAUGGUAUUGGUCAUGCUGUUUGGCAAAAGUUGUGUGAUAAGUGGAUGUCACCAGAAUUUCAGAAUUACUUCCUAGGAAAUAAGUGAAAAAAACAAAGAAAAUUAUUCCAAGAAUGAGGUUCCACAUUAUUCUGGAUCGAUGUCCUUCAUCAGAUGUUAAGAUGCUUAUGUCAAACUCAAAGAAAGACAGAGCCAAGAAGAUGAGGAUGGUGAAAGGGAUGAGGAUUUUGCUAUUCGCUUGUACAAGGACACACAUUUUAAGGAACAAUGUGGAUGGGCACAUGAGAAAGCUAAGAGGAAUUUUUUAAGUUAACUAUAAGUUAGCAUGUUGGAUUAUGAAAUUUGGAUCUCAAAAUAUUUUUGCGGUUUAUAGGGGGUCACAUGCCUUUAAGUGACCAUUCUUGAUUUUUUGUGCACAAAUGGAGGUGGGGAAUUGUUGCGGAUGAAGUGUGUGGUUUUCAUUCAUUGCAUUUCACGUUUAAAGAAUAUAUAUAUAUAUAUAUAUAUAUAUAUAUAUAUAUAUAUAUAUAUAUAUAUAUUAUGUUACCUCUUCAAUUGAGUGGAGAAAAAGAAGAGAAAACAGUAGAUGGAAGGAAAAAAAAAAUAUACAACUCCUUCCCCCCCCCCCCCC